AUACAGAGGGUGCGAGCGUUAAUCGGAAUUACUGGGCGUAAAGCGCGCGUAGGCGGCUUAUUAAGUCAGAUGUGAAAUCCCCGGGCUCAACCUGGGAACUGCAUCUGAUACUGGGAAGCUAGAGUUUUGGAGAGGGAAGUAGAAUUUCAGGUGUAGCGGUGAAAUGCAUAGAGAUCUGAAGGAAUACCAGUGGCGAAGGCGACUUCCUGGCCAAAAACUGACGCUGAGGUGCGAAAGCGUGGGUAGCAAACGGGAUUAGAUACCCUAGUAGUCC
rnacentral:rRNA from 1 species